GGAAUAAAAAAAAGUUGUUUUUAAGGGGGAACCACCGCUUUAAGUGGUUAAUGUUAUCGAUGCGACAGUUGCGCAGCAGUCAAAGUCAACAGCCAAAGUCGCACCCAUCUAAAGUUUCAACGGAAAUCUCGUGGCUUUGGAGUCACAAGUGCGAAUGGAGCCUGAAUAGGAAACCCAUCAAGGAGAGAGCGAUGAAGCCGUUUUUAUUUUUUCUUGAUCGUUCAAAUAUGGUUUUAUCUUUUCAAUAUUGUUUAUUUUGUACUGUUACUUUGUAUAUUUUGUGUUUGUGUUUUUAAUAGGCAUAAAAUAUUUAUGUUUCAGUGAA